CCUACGGGUGGCUGCAGUCGAGAAUCUUCCGCAAUGGGCGAAAGCCUGACGGAGCGACGCCGCGUGAUUGAUGAAGUUCCACUGGAAUGUAAAGAUCUUUUAUAGAGGAGAAAGCCGGAUUUAUCCGGUGUGAUAGUACUCUAUGAAUAAGGGGUUGCUAAACUCGUGCCAGCAGCAGCGGUAAUACGAGUGCCCCGAGCGUUAUCCGGAAUUAUUGGGCGUAAAGGGUGUGUAGGUGGUCUUGUUAGUCUUUUGUUAAAGCUCCUAGCUUAACUGGGAAAAUGCAAAAGAAACGGCAAGACUAGAGGAUGCAAGAGGCUUAUGGAACUCAUGGUGUAGGGGUGAAAUCCGUUAAUAUCAUGGGGAACACCGAAGGCGAAGGCAGUAAGCUGGUGCAUAUCUGACACUGAAACACGAAAGCGUGGGUAGCGAAUGGGAUUAGAUACCCCGGUAGUC
rnacentral:rRNA from 1 species